rnacentral:lncRNA from 1 species
AUGAUCCAGAACCUGACCCACUCUGACUCCGGCCAGUACCAAGAGGAGUGUUGGGGCAAUGUGACAUAUGCGAAAAGCAUCAAUGUUAUUGUUUGUAGUACGAUACAUUUUCACAGAAUUGUUGAUGUUACAGUUGGAGAAACAGUGGACCUGCCAUGUGAGGGAGCAGCUGACAAUCUGGACAUCCAGUGGCUCAAGAGUGAUUCUGGAUAUUGGAACAACAUUUGGACAAGAGUUUUUGGGGACAGUGUAACAUCAGUGAUGGACGAUGUUGAAGGAAAAUCCCAAGAGGUGAAAACCUCAUCAGGACUUCGUAUUUACAACCUCACGUUAACACGGUUCAAAUAUUACAACUGUCUGGUGAUGAACCAACAGCAGUGUGUCAGCAGUCACCCUGUAAUGUUACAACUACCAUCGGAGUUGAUCCUCCGCACAGUGGGAGAGACAGCUGUGUUACAGUGCCCUGCUGCUGAGUUCACUGACGACCAGCCUCCACUUUGGAACAAGUAUGAGGAUGACUACAACUCUGAGGUGGGCAAAAACUAUUCACUGGUGCUUUCAUCACUUCAGUUAAAUCACUCAGGUAUAUACUAUUGUCAAAUCUACAACCAUGUUCAAUGGUAUCACCUGUUGGUGUGCCCCAAAUCUGACCCACCUGCUGUCGAGCUCUUCUCAGAAGGAGACAAUGUCACUUUCAGAUGCAGAGAUUUGAAAGAGGGUAGAGGGCACUUCUGGUUCAUCAAGUCAAACCAAACAGAAGGCAGAUUCUUGGUUCAAGAUGAUAUAACAUCUGAUCUGAAGAGCAGACUGAACAUAUCUAAAGAUGAUGGCUUGUUGAUUCUCUCUAAUGUCUCACUGGAAGACACAGGAGAGUACUGGUGUGAUGUUUAUGACCCAGAUGGACAGUGUGUGUCAUCCUCCAGAACUGUUCUGAAGUCCAGAGAGCCCUCUGGGAUGGACUUCACCCUCUACACGGUGAGGUCCUCACUGCUCCCUGGUCUGCUGGUGAUCCUCUGUGUUGUUGUGGUCGCUGUGAACCAGAGGACCAGGAGAGGAGAGCAGCGUCCAGCUCAGACAGACAGUUAA